rnacentral:rRNA from 1 species
UUAGUUGCCAGCACUAACGGUGGGCACUCUAAGGAGACUGCCGGUGACAACGGAGGAAGUGGGAUGACGUCAAAUCAUCAUGCCCUUUAUGACCUGGGCUACACACGUGCUACAAUGGCCUAUACAAAGGGUAGCGAAGCUGUGAGGUGGAGCCAAUCCCAAAAGUAGGUCUCAGUUCGGAUUGUAGGCUGCAACUCGCCUACAUGAAGUCGGAAUCGCUAGUAAUCGCGGAUCAGCAUGCCGCGGUGAAUACGUUCCCGGGCCUU